rnacentral:rRNA from 1 species
GAUGAACGCUGGCGGCGUGCUUAACACAUGCAAGUCGAACGAAGCACUUUAUUUGAUUUCUUUCGGGACUGAUUAUUUUGUGACUAAGUGUCGGACGGGUGAGUAACGCGUGGGUAAACUGCCUUGUACAGGGGGAUAACAGUUGGAAACUGCUGCUAAUACCGCAUAAGCGCCCAGCAUCGCAUGAUGCAGUGAGGAAAACUCCGGUGGUAUAAGAUGGACCCGCGUUGGAUUAGCUAGUUGGUGAGGUAACGGCCCACCAAGGCGACGAUCCAUAGCCGACCUGGGAGCGUGACCGGCCACAUUGGGACUGAGACACGGCGCAAACUCCGACGAGUGGAAGCAGUGGGGAAUAAUGCACAAUGCGCGAGAGCCUGAUGCAUCUACGCCGCAUGAACGAAUAAGUAUUUCGGUAUGUAAAGCUCUAUCAGCAGGGGAGUAAAUGACGUUACCUGACGAAGAAGCACCGGCUAACUACGUG